AUUUUAAUAGCUUAAUUUUUGAGAGUUUUAUAUUGAAGAUAUGAAGGUGGAAGAAUUUUCCUUAAAGUA
rnacentral:tRNA from 1 species